GACGAACGCUGGCGGCGUGCUUAACACAUGCAAGUCGAACGGAAAGGCCCUGCUUUUGUGAGGUGCUCGAGUGGCGAACGGGUGAGUAACACGUGAGUAACCUGCCCUUGACUUUGGGAUAACUUCAGGAAACUGGGGCUAAUACCGGAUAGGAGCUCCUGCUGCAUGGUGGGGGUUGGAAAGUUUCGGCGGUUGGGGAUGGACUCGCGGCUUAUCAGCUUGUUGGUGGGGUAGUGGCUUACCAAGGCUUUGACGGGUAGCCGGCCUGAGAGGGUGACCGGCCACAUUGGGACUGAGAUACGGCCCAGACUCCUACAGGAGGCAGCAGUGGGGAAUAUUGCACAAUGGGCGGAAGCCUGAUGCAGCAACGCCGCGCGCGGGAUGACGGCCUUCGGGUUGUAAACCGCUUUCGCCUGUGACGAAGCGUGAGUGACGGUAAUGGGUAAAGAAGCACCGGCUAACUACGUG
rnacentral:rRNA from 1 species